rnacentral:tRNA from 1 species
CCCUGGUUAGUUCAUUUGGUAGAGCGCUUCACCGGUAAUGGAGAGGUCCCGGUUUCAAUGCCCGGACCAGGCG